GUGUUCACUUUGCAGCACAUAUACUAAAAAUUGGAAUGAUAACAGAGAAGAUUAGAAUGGCCCUUACACAAGGAUGACACGUAAAUUCGUGAAGCGUUCUGCUUUUUU
ensembl:snRNA U6 U6 spliceosomal RNA